GGAGAGGUGUCCGAGCGGUUUAAGGAGCUAGUCUUGAAAACUAGUGAUUCAGAAAUGGACCGUGGGUUCGAAUCCCACCCUCUCCG
rnacentral:tRNA from 1 species